CCCUACUCUCCCUCCCCUAUCCCCUAGCCCCCGGCUGGCCCUGAUGUGUGACGAUCCCCUCCCUGUGUCCAUAUAUUCUCCUUGUUCAACACCCACUUGUAUUCGACGAGAUCAGGAGCAUGCCCAGCUCUCCACUGUGGUCCUCAUGUAAGAGGAGAACCAUGACAACGUAUUGCAUUAGUCCUGCACAGUAAUCGCGCAUGUUGUUUCUUUACACACCCUAGGUCAAAAAGGACGCACGGUUUAUGCGCUGUCUGCUUGGAACACUUGCUCUAGACACCUGACUGCCAUAGAAGAAGCCAACAUGGAAAGGAACCAAGGCCCAGGACAACAGCCCCAGCAGGGUCAGCUGCCUGCACCAACCUGCCAGCCGUGGAAGUGAGCCACCUUGGAAGUGAAUUCUCCAGACCUGUAGAGCUACACCAGCUUAUUCCAUGAGAAGCAGAAAUGAACUGCCCAGCUGAGUCCUUCCCAAAUUCUGGCACAAAAGAUCAUAAACAAAAACUAUUUUGAGUCCUCAAAUUUUGAGUGCAGUUUGUUAUGCAGUAAUAGAUCAUCAGGAGAGGCGUAGAGAACAGUAUAUAAAGUCGACAUAGAACCAAACAAGAAGAUUAAAGUAUAGGUGACAUUUUUUGUUUCCAAUUAUUAUUAUUAUUGAAACAUUAAAUCCUUCCUGAGUGUAAGCGAUCCAGGUGAAAUGAAAGUAAUCGGAAAAUUCUUGACUGUGCUAUGAGGCCUUAGAGAAAAUGAAAUCCCUUUCACACAUAAUUCCAGAAACACAAAAUAAAAUAGAUUCAAAAUGUUAUUGGCAUUGAAAUCCAUGAGUAUCCUUUCUUCCCUUUCUCACUGAAAUUUAUUAGAAGAUAAAAAUCUAUGCAUUACCUAUUCAUGGUUUUCAGGGCUAUUUUCUCCUCCUUUGAUAUGUAGUAUAAAUUUAUUUAUUUAUUAUUAA